rnacentral:ncRNA from 2 species
CGAAAUGGGAUGAACCCAUACGUCUGAAUAAGGUGCCGAAAUGUACUAUCACUGAUACCAUAAAGGGAGUCCAUGUAUUUAGACAGCAGGUCGGUGCCCUAAAAGCAGGUAUCCGCUAAAGAGUGUGUUAAAACUCACCUGCCGAAUACUAGGGCCCCGAAAAUGAAUGGCGCAUAUAGUACUACCGAUCUCAGACAUCAGUUCUAUUGAACUGAGAGUAGGGGGAUGUGGACAUUUUUGUGAAGGUGCAAUGUGAGUUGGACUGGAAGAAUGUCUAUUACAGAUCCUAAUUGAAGUAGCGAUUAUCCAGGCUUGUAUCCUGGGGGCUGAUGAGGAGUAGGGUUUCUGGACAACUUAAACAGAUCCAGAGUUAGUCGAUCCUAAUCUCAAUAAUGGGAGAAAGGGAGUACAGUUGAUAUUCUGUAACUGACAACAGUUCGCGGCAACGCAUACUAUUUUUCUCCGCCAAUCUUAUACCGUUGGUAGGGAUCUCUUUCCUACAUGACAGUACUAAUACCCAGGGAAACUGGUCAUCAGGCGAACUGCGGCGUUCUGCUGGCAAAACAUAGCUUCGGUUAUGUCAAUGGCUAUUGGAUUGGUCCAUGAAGCGAAAAAUAGUUUACUGUGUCACUCGUACCGAUAACCGCAUCAGGUCUUCUAGGUAAGUAGCCUAUGGCCAUUGAGGCAUGAUAGUUCAGGGAAUUCGGCCAAUUAGAGCUGUAACUUCGGGAUAAAGCUUGGCUCUGAUGAAAAUCAGAACCGAUUGUUACGCGGAGAGCCCAACUGUUUAAUAAAAACGUAGUGUCGCGCUGUGGUAGUAUAGCCAGUGAACGCGACAUGAAUCCUGCUCAGUGCUGUGUCUGUUAAUAUGGUUCAAGCCAACGAAGCACCGGUAAAUAGCUGGGGUAACUAUGACUCUUAUCAAAGUAGCGAAAUACCUCGUCACUUAAUUAGUGACCUGCAUGAACGGAGCUAU